rnacentral:rRNA from 1 species
AUUGAACGCUGGCGGCAUGCCUUACACAUGCAAGUCGAACGGCAGCACGGGAGCAAUCCUGGUGGCGAGUGGCGAACGGGUGAGUAAUAUAUCGGAACGUGCCCAGUCGUGGGGGAUAACGUAGCGAAAGCUACGCUAAUACCGCAUACGAUCUAUGGAUGAAGGCGGGGGAUCGCAAGACCUCGAGCGAUCGGAGCGGUCGAUAUCAGAUUAGGUAGUUGGUGAGGUAAAGGCUCACCAAGCCGACGAUCUGUAGCUGGUCUGAGAGGACGACCAGCCACUCUGGGACUGAGACACGGCCCAGACUCCUACGGGAGGCAGCAGUGGGAAAUUUUGGACAAUGGGCGCAAGCCUGAUCCAGCAAUGCCGCGUGCAGGAUGAAGGCCUUCGGGUUGUAAACUGCUUUUGUACGGAACGAAACGGCGAGCUCUAAUACAGUUUGCUAAUGACGGUACCGUAAGAAUAAGCACCGGCUAACUACGUGCCAGCCGCCGCCGUAA